rnacentral:rRNA from 1 species
UACGUAAGGGGCUAGCGUUAUCCGGAAUUACUGGGCGUAAAGGGUUUGUAGGCGGAUCUAUAAGUCAGGUAUGAAAGACCGGAGCUCAACUCCGUGUUUGUAUCAGAAACUGUAGAUCUAGAAUCAGGAAGAGGUAAGCGGAAUUCUAAGUGUAGGGGUGCAAUCCGUAGAUACUUAGAAGAACACCAAAAGCGAAGGCAGCUUACUGGUACUGUAUUGACGCUGAGGAACGAAAGCGUGGGGAGCGAAAAGG